CACGUAGGGUGCGAGCGUUGUCCGGAAUUAUUGGGCGUAAAGAGCUCGUAGGCGGUGUGUCGCGUCGGCCGUGAAAACUUGGGGCUUAACCCUGAGCUUGCGGUCGAUACGGGCAUGACUGGAGUUCGGUAGGGGGGAUCGGAAUUCCUGGUGUAGCGGUGAAAUGCGCAGAUAUCAGGAGGAACACCGGUGGCGAAGGCGGAUCUCUGGGCCGUAACUGACGCUGAGGAGCGAAAGCAUGGGGAGCGAACAGG
rnacentral:rRNA from 1 species